rnacentral:lncRNA from 1 species
GGGUAGGCCCAUGGUCCUGGCAGGCAAGGACGCCAAGCAAGUGCAAUGGACAAACGUGUAUGAAGAUGCGCUGGGGCUGGGGUUGGUGGUAACAGGGACUCUCCCUGUUUUCAACCUGACACAGGAUGGCCCUGGGGAAAAGAAGAACCAGCUAAUCCUGGGUGUCAUGGGCAUAGAUGUGGCCCUGAAUGACAUCAAAAGGCUGACUCCCAACUACACACUUGGCGCCAAUGGCUACGUGUUCGCCAUCGACCUGAAUGGCUAUGUGUUGCUACAUCCCAAUCUCAAGCCCCAGACUACCAACUUCCGGGAGCCUGUGACCUUGGACUUCCUGGAUGCAGAGCUGGAAGAUGAGAACAAGGAGGAGAUCCGUCGUAGUAUGAUUGACGGAGACAAAGGCCACAAGCAGAUCAGAACCUUGGUCAAAUCCCUGGAUGAGAGGUACAUAGAUGAAGUGAUUCGGAACUACACCUGGGUGCCUAUAAGGAGUACCAACUACAG